rnacentral:rRNA from 1 species
UUAAGCGACUAAGCGUACACGGUGGAUGCCCUGGCAGUCAGAGGCGAUGAAGGGCGUGCUAAUCUGCGAUAAGCGCCGGUAAGGUGAUAUGAACCGUUAUAACCGGCGAUACCCGAAUGGGGAAACCCAGUGUGAUUCGUCACACUAUCAUUAACUGAAUCCAUAGGUUAAUGAGGCGAACCGGGGGAACUGAAACAUCUAAGUACCCCGAGGAAAAGAAAUCAACCGAGAUUCCCCCAGUAGCGGCGAGCGAACGGGGAGGAGCCCAGAGCCUGAAUCAGCAUGUGUGUUAGUGGAAGCGUCUGGAAAGGCGCGCGAUACAGGGUGACAGCCCCGUACACAAAAGCGCAUAUGCUGUGAGCUCGAUGAGUAGGGCGGGACACGUGGUAUCCUGUCUGAAUAUGGGGGGACCAUCCUCCAAGGCUAAAUACUCCUGACUGACCGAUAGUGAACCAGUACCGUGAGGGAAAGGCGAAAAGAACCCCGGCGAGGGGAGUGAAAAAGAACCUGAAACCGUGUACGUACAAGCAGUGGGAGCACAGGUUUACCUGUGUGACUGCGUACCUUUUGUAUAAUGGGUCAGCGACUUAUAUUCUGUAGCAAGGUUAACCGAAUAGGGGAGCCGGAGGGAAACCGAGUCUUAAUUGGGCGUUAAGUUGCAGGGUAUAGACCCGAAACCCGGUGAUCUAGCCAUGGGCAGGUUGAAGGUUGGGUAACACUAACUGGAGGACCGAACCGACUAAUGUUGAAAAAUUAGCGGAUGACCUGUGGCUGGGGGUGAAAGGCCAAUCAAACCGGGAGAUAGCUGGUUCUCCCCGAAAGCUAUUUAGGUAGCGCCUCGUGAAUUCAUCUCCGGGGGUAGAGCACUGUUUCGGCUAGGGGGCCAUCCCGGCUUACCAACCCGAUGCAAACUGCGAAUACCGGAGAAUGUUAUCACGGGAGACACACGGCGGGUGCUAACGUCCGUCGUGAAGAGGGAAACAACCCAGACCGCCAGCUAAGGUCCCAAAGUCAUGGUUAAGUGGGAAACGAUGUGGGAAGGCCCAGACAGCCAGGAUGUUGGCUUAGAAGCAGCCAUCAUUUAAAGAAAGCGUAAUAGCUCACUGGUCGAGUCGGCCUGCGCGGAAGAUGUAACGGGGCUAAACCAUGCACCGAAGCUGCGGCAGCGAACGUAUCACUUAAAGCGAUUCAGCGGGUUACGAUUGACGGAGCGAAGCGACGUCAAAGCGUAUACAAAGUCGAGUCGGUUUAAGGAUACGUUCGUUGGGUAGGGGAGCGUUCUGUAAGCCUGUGAAGGUGGCCUGUGAGGGUUGCUGGAGGUAUCAGAAGUGCGAAUGCUGACAUAAGUAACGAUAAAGCGGGUGAAAAGCCCGCUCGCCGGAAGACCAAGGGUUCCUGUCCAACGUUAAUCGGGGCAGGGUGAGUCGACCCCUAAGGCGAGGCCGAAAGGCGUAGUCGAUGGGAAACGGGUUAAUAUUCCCGUACUUGGUGUUACUGCGAAGGGGGGACGGAGAAGGCUAUGUUGGCCGGGCGACGGUUGUCCCGGUUUAAGCGUGUAGGUGUGUGUUCCAGGUAAAUCCGGUUCACUUUAACACUGAGGCGUGACGACGAGGCACUACGGUGCUGAAGCAACAAAUGCCCUGCUUCCAGGAAAAGCCUCUAAGCAUCAGGUAACAUCAAAUCGUACCCCAAACCGACACAGGUGGUCAGGUAGAGAAUACCAAGGCGCUUGAGAGAACUCGGGUGAAGGAACUAGGCAAAAUGGUGCCGUAACUUCGGGAGAAGGCACGCUGACACGUAGGUGAAGUGAUUUACUCAUGGAGCUGAAGUCAGUCGAAGAUACCAGCUGGCUGCAACUGUUUAUUAAAAACACAGCACUGUGCAAACACGAAAGUGGACGUAUACGGUGUGACGCCUGCCCGGUGCCGGAAGGUUAAUUGAUGGGGUCAGCGCAAGCGAAGCUCCUGAUCGAAGCCCCGGUAAACGGCGGCCGUAACUAUAACGGUCCUAAGGUAGCGAAAUUCCUUGUCGGGUAAGUUCCGACCUGCACGAAUGGCGUAAUGAUGGCCAGGCUGUCUCCACCCGAGACUCAGUGAAAUUGAACUCGCUGUGAAGAUGCAGUGUACCCGCGGCAAGACGGAAAGACCCCGUGAACCUUUACUAUAGCUUGACACUGAACAUUGAGCCUUGAUGUGUAGGAUAGGUGGGAGGCUUUGAAGCGUGGACGCCAGUCUGCGUGGAGCCGACCUUGAAAUACCACCCUUUAAUGUUUGAUGUUCUAACGUGGACCCGUUACCCGGGUUGCGGACAGUGUCUGGUGGGUAGUUUGACUGGGGCGGUCUCCUCCUAAAGAGUAACGGAGGAGCACGAAGGUUGGCUAAUCCUGGUCGGACAUCAGGAGGUUAGUGCAAUGGCAUAAGCCAGCUUGACUGCGAGCGUGACGGCGCGAGCAGGUGCGAAAGCAGGUCAUAGUGAUCCGGUGGUUCUGAAUGGAAGGGCCAUCGCUCAACGGAUAAAAGGUACUCCGGGGAUAACAGGCUGAUACCGCCCAAGAGUUCAUAUCGACGGCGGUGUUUGGCACCUCGAUGUCGGCUCAUCACAUCCUGGGGCUGAAGUAGGUCCCAAGGGUAUGGCUGUUCGCCAUUUAAAGUGGUACGCGAGCUGGGUUUAGAACGUCGUGAGACAGUUCGGUCCCUAUCUGCCGUGGGCGCUGGAGAACUGAGGGGGGCUGCUCCUAGUACGAGAGGACCGGAGUGGACGCAUCACUGGUGUUCGGGUUGUCAUGCCAAUGGCACUGCCCGGUAGCUAAAUGCGGAAGAGAUAAGUGCUGAAAGCAUCUAAGCACGAAACUUGCCCCGAGAUGAGUUCUCCCUGAGACUUUAAGUCUCCUGAAGGAACGUUGAAGACGACGACGUUGAUAGGCCGGGUGUGUAAGCGCAGCGAUGCGUUGAGCUAACCGGUACUAAUGAACCGUGAGGCUUAACCUU